rnacentral:rRNA from 1 species
GAAAGGUGAAAAGCACCCCGGGAGGGGAGUGAAAAAGAACCUGAAACCCUGUGCUUACAAGCACUGAGAGCUCGUCAAAGAGUGAUCAGGUACCUAUUGUAGAAUGGUCCGGCGAGUUAUGAUAUGCAGCAAGGUUAAGUACUUAAGGUACGGAGCCGCAGCGAGAGCGAGUCUGAAUAGGGCGUAAAGUUGUAUGUCAUAGACCCGAAACCGAGUGACCUAGCCAUGUCCAGGCUGAAGUGGAGGUAAAACUCCAUGGAGGGCCGAACCGACCUCCGUUGAAAAGGCGGCGGAUGAGGUGUGGCUAGCGGAGAAAUUCCAAUCGAACUCGGAUAUAGCUGGUUCUCUCCGAAAUAGCUUUAGGGCUAGCGUUGCAACAGAUUACCGGAGGUAAAGCACUGAAUAGGCUAGGGGGCGAGAGCUUACUGAACCUUAUCAAACUAAGAAUGCCGGAUAAUUGAUUUGCAGCAGUCAGACAGUGUGAGAUAAGUUUCAUUGUCAAAAGGGAAACAGCCCAGACCCACAGCUAAGGUCCCAAAGUACAUUUGAGUGGAAAAGGAUGUGGGGUUGCAUAGACAACCGGGAUGUUGGCUUAGAAGCAGCCAUACAUUAAAAGAGUGCGUAAUAGCUCACCGGUCGAGUGACCCUGCGCCGAAAAUUCAACGGGGCUAAAAUGUACACCGAAGCUUGGGAUUGCAGUUACUGAACAAAGCAGAUUGAUGAAAAGGAUGAAUCUGGCCGAAGGCAAAAUUCAACUUAAAAGCAAAAAGUCAGUAAGCUUUGUUCAGUAACUGCAGUGGUAGGAGAGCGUCGAAUACGGGGUGAAGUCAGAGCGGAAGCGCUGGUGGACUGUAUUCGAGUGAGAAUGCCGGAAUGAGUAGCGAGAAUUAUGUGAGAAUCAUAAUGGCCGAAAGUCUAAGGUUUUGGAAGGAAGGUUCGUCCGCUUCCAGUAAGCCGGGAGCUAAGGUGAGGCCGAAAGGCGUAGCCGAUGCACAUACGGUUGAAAUUCCGUAGCCUCCGAAGUAUUUAAACAGAAGGACACUUGAGAAGUGAUGAUGCCGGGCGAUGGUUGACCCGGUCGUAAGGGACCGAAAUUUAGUAGGGAAGUCAUCAUGGAUCGAGGCGAGAAAAGUUCUGUGAAUAUACAAGGAGCCCGUACCGCAAACCGACACAGGUAGAUAGGAAGAAAAUUCUAAGGCCAACGGGAGAAGGGUUGUUAAGGAACUCGGCAAGUUGACCCCGUAACUUCGGAAUAAGGGGUGCUCUCGAGAGAGAGCCGCAGAGAAUAGGCCCAGGCGACUGUUUAGCAAAAACACAGCUCUAUGCUAAAUCGAAAGAUGAUGUAUAUGGGGUGACACCUGCCCGGUGCCGGAAGGUUAAGAGGAGGCGUGAGAGCGCUGAAUUGAAGCCCCGGUAAACGGCGGCCGUAACUAUAACGGUCCUAAGGUAGCGAAAUUCCUUGUCGGGU